rnacentral:rRNA from 1 species
UUUACACGAUAGCAAGGUCGCACGGCAGCACGGGAGCUGGCUCCUAGGUGGGCGAAGUUGGCGAACGGGUAGAGUUCACAUUAUCGGAACGUUAUCCAAUGAAGGGGGGCGAACUAAUCGAAAGGUGGGCUAAUACCGCAUACGCCCUGAGGGGGAAAGCUGGGGAACUUCGGACCUGGCGUUAAUGGAGCGGCCGAUAUCUGAUUAGCUAGUUGGUGAGGUAAAGGCUCACCAAGGCGACGAUCAGUAGCUGGUCUGAGAGGACGACCAGCCACACUGGAACUGAGACACGGUCCAGACUCCUACGGGAGGCAGCAGUGGGGAAUUUUGGACAAUGGGCGCAAGCCUGAUCCAGCCAUUCCGCGUGAGUGAAGAAGGCCUUCGGGUUGUAAAGCUCUUUCGCAAGGGAAGAAACGAUACAAGCGAAUAACUUGUGUUAAUGACGGUACCUUGAUAAGAAGCACCGGCUAACUACGUGCCAGCAGCCGCGGUAAUACGUAGGGUGCGAGCGUUAAUCGGAAUUACUGGGCGUAAAGCGUGCGCAGGCGGUUUUGUAAGUCAGAUGUGAAAUCCCCGAGCUCAACUUGGGAACUGCGUUUGAAACUACAAGACUAGAAUAGGUCAGAGGGGGGUAGAAUUCCACGUGUAGCAGUGAAAUGCGUAGAGAUGUGGAGGAAUAUCAAUGGCGAAGGCAGCCCCCUGGGAUCAUAUUGACGCUCAUGCACGAAAGCGUGGGGAGCAAACAGGAUUAGAUACCCUGGUAGUCCACGCCCUAAACGAUGUCAACUAGUUGUUGGUAGAGUAAAAUCUAUGAGUAACGCAGCUAACGCGUGAAGUUGACCGCCUGGGGAGUACGAUCGCAAGAUUAAAACUCAAAUGAAUUGACGGGGGCCCGCACAAGCGGUGGAUUAUGUGGAUUAAUUCGAUGCAACGCGAAAAACCUUACCUGGCCUUGACAUGUACGGAAGAUUUCAGAGAUGAGAUUGUGCUCGAAAGAGAACCGUAACACAGGUGCUGCAUGGCUGUCGUCAGCUCGUGUCGUGAGAUGUUGGGUUAAGUCCCGCAACGAGCGCAACCCUUGCCAAUAAUUGCCAUCAUUUAGUUGGGGCACUUUAUUGGGACUGCCGAUGACAAAUCGGAGGAAGGUGGGGAUGACGUCAAGUCCUCAUGGCCCUUAUGGCCAGGGCUUCACACGUAAUACAAUGGUCGGUACAGAGGGUUGCCAAGCCGCAAGGUGGAGCCAAUCCCAGAAAGCCGAUCGUAGUCCGGAUUGAGGUCUGCAACUCGACCUCAUGAAGUCGGAAUCGCUAGUAAUCGCGGAUCAGCAUGUCGCGGUGAAUACGUUCCCGGGCCUUGUACACACCGCCCGUCACACCAUGGGAGUGGGUUUACCAGAAGUAGGUAGUCUAACCGCAAGGAGGACGCUUA